GGAGAGGUGGCAGAGCGGUUGAAUGCGACGGUCUUGAAAACCGUUGAGGGGGCAACUCCUCCGAGGGUUCGAAUCCCUCCCUCUCCGCCA
rnacentral:tRNA from 12 species